UACGGAGGGUGCGAGCGUUAAUCGGAAUUACUGGGCGUAAAGCGCGCGUAGGUGGCUUGAUAAGCCGGUUGUGAAAGCCCCGGGCUCAACCUGGGAACGGCAUCCGGAACUGUCAGGCUAGAGUGCAGGAGAGGAAGGUAGAAUUCCCGGUGUAGCGGUGAAAUGCGUAGAGAUCGGGAGGAAUACCAGUGGCGAAGGCGGCCUUCUGGACUGACACUGACACUGAGGUGCGAAAGCGUGGGUAGCAAACAGGAUUAGAUACCCCCGUAGUCC
rnacentral:rRNA from 1 species